UACGUAGGGGGCUAGCGUUGUCCGGAUUAUUGGGCGUAAAGAGCGUGUAGGCGGCCAGGUAGGUCUGCUGUGAAAACUCGGAGGCUCAACCUCGAGACGUCGGCGGAAACCAUCUGGCUAGAGUCCGGAAGAGGAGAGUGGAAUUCCUGGUGUGAGCGUGAAAUGCGCAGAUAUCAGGAAGAACACCCGUGGCGAAGGCGGCGUCUCUGGGACGGUACUGACGCGAGACGCGAAAGCGUGGGAGGCGAACAGG
rnacentral:rRNA from 1 species